GAUGAACGCUAGCGGCAGGCCUAAUACAUGCAAGUCGAACGGAAUAUAGUUUUCGGAUUAUAUUUAGUGGCGCACGGGUGAGUAACACGUACAUAACUUACCCUCAAGAGGGGGAUAGCCUUGGGAAACUGAGCGUAAUACCCCAUAGUAUUAUUGAACGGCAUCGUUUGAUAAUUAAAGCUACGGCGCUUGAGGAUAGAUGUGCGUCUGAUUAGCUAGUUGGUAAGGUAACGGCUUACCAAGGCGACGAUCAGUAGGGGGCGUGAGAGCGUGGCCCCCCACACGGGUACUGAGACACGGACCCGACUCCUACGGGAGGCAGCAGUAAGGAAUAUUGGUCAAUGCCCGGAAGGGUGAACCAGCCAUGCCGCGUGAAGGAUGACUGCCCUCUGGGUUGUAAACUUCUUUUGGAUGGGACGAAAAAACGGGAUUUAUCCUGGACUGACGGUACCAUCAGAAUAAGCACCGGCUAACUCCGUGCCAGCAGCCGCGGUAAUGUCUGUACU
rnacentral:rRNA from 1 species